rnacentral:misc_RNA from 1 species
UAACCUCACCCUCCGGACCUUUGCGGUCCGGGGACGUGGAUCUGGGCUCUGUCGUCCCUGCGACGACUGGCCUCAAAUGCCUGAGUGCACCUCGCUUCUGCGGCGUCUUCAGUGUGAUAAGUAUCUUCACUGGAACAAGCUCCCCUCGGGGACACGCUCGCCUUGUGGGCUCUGCGCUUGCGAACCGUCCGUCGACGCGGACAACUCUUUGACA